rnacentral:sRNA from 1 species
GUGCUCAAUGAGCUACAAUUCAAAUAGAGGAAAUUUAAUGGGAAAUGAUUACAUUAGUAGCAGAUGGACUGGCUUCCUGAAUUUCAGUCUUACUAGAAAUCCUAGAACAGCUUAAAUUUGUUUUUCAAAUUUAGAGUCUGAUAAAAAGACAGAUAAAGAGAUUUGUUUAUUUGAUUGUGCUAGUGUGAUUCUUACUGUCUUUUGGAUAUUUCAUUUGUACUAGGCUAUUUUUAUGAUUCCCACAAAUCCACCACCAACAUUCAGAAAGCCAGAACUUUGGUCCGAUGAUUUCACCGAUUUUGUUAAAAAGUGUUUGGUGAAGAAUCCUGAGCAGAGAGCUACUGCAACACAACUUUUACAGAACGUUGAAAUUGUAAAAGAUUGGAAAGAUCCUAAAUAUCUGUCAACAAGUUGGAAACAAUUUAAAGUACAAGAAAAAGAGUUACUGGAAAAAUACACCUAUGUACACACAACAUAUAUACAUAUCUUAAUGCUUAUAAUGAAGUAUCUCUGGAAAAAUAAGCAAGAAACUGGCCUCCAGAAAAGCAUCCUUUUAUCAAGAAUGCAAAACCUGUAU